GAUGAACGCUGGCGGCGUGCUUAACACAUGCAAGUCGAGCGAGAAGUUUUGAACAGAUUCUUCGGAUGAAAUUUAAAAUGGAAAGCGGCGGACGGGUGAGUAACGCGUAGGCAACCUGCCCCAUACAAAGGGAUAGCAUUUGGAAACGAAUAUUAAUACCUUAUGAAACUUAACUAGUGCAUGCUAGGCAGGUCAAAGAUUUAUCGGUAUGGGAUGGGCCUGCGUCUGAUUAGCUAGUUGGUGAGGUAACGGCUCACCAAGGCGACGAUCAGUAGCCGACCUGAGAGGGUGAACGGCCACAUUGGAACUGAGACACGGUCCAAACUCCUACGGGAGACAGCAGUGGGGAAUAUUGCACAAUGGGGGAAACCCUGAUGCAGCAACGCCGCGUGAACGAUGAAGGCCUUUGGGUCGUAAAGUUCUGUUCUAGGUGAUGAAAACUGACAGUAACCGAGGAGAAAGCCCCGGCUAACUCCGUG
rnacentral:rRNA from 1 species